rnacentral:lncRNA from 10 species
CUUCUGUAUAGUACAGGGGUGGUGCUUUGAGGGGAUAAACAGCUGAACAAGACAAUGACCCAGGACUUCCAGUAGGCCCCAUUUUAAUGUCACAGUAUUAUAAUAUCUAUAAUUUUGAAUUUUGAAAGGUGAAUGUUUCUUUAGCACAAAAUUCUUCAUUCUUCUAACUCCAGUUGUAAGAAAAUAAUCGCAAUUAGGCCACCAUGUUCAUAGAAUUAAUUACAUACACAUUUUUAAAUAGUGUUAACUUUAAGUGGCCUCCCACUAAGAUAUGAAGUACAUAUCUAUUUGGAGGAUUAGAAAGUAAAAUUUCCAGCUUUCAAUAAGAAUCAAACUGAUAGUGUACUAAAAAUAAACUAAGGUCAUCUGAUUGAAAGGCUUCACCUCUGUCUCACACUCCAGCUCUUUUCUUGGAAGAGAAGAAACCGUUUCAAAAAAUUAUUAAGGGAGCAACAAAGGGCUGUUUUGUACAUUCAUUACAUUCACGGUGAGGGAAAUGUUCUGUCCUGUCAAUAUCAGUGUAUCUAAUCUAAAAUCAUUAAUUCCAUACCUGCUAGCUUUUUUAGUAAAACUAUAUUAAAAUUAAAAGUAAAACUUACAGUAUUUGUUUCGACCUAUAAACCUGGUUAACAUCCAUUAGAUUAGAUUGGUUUUCAUUAAAAUAAGUGCUACACAAGACCUGUCAUAACUAAGCAUCUUCUUGUUUUUUGUUUUGUUUUGUUUUUUCUAGAGCCCCAGCAGCUACUAUUAAUGAGUGUCUGGAAUAUGUUCCUGGCAUUUCACCUACCCUCUCUCCAAUCCUUCCAAGAAACUCACAAAGCAGGGCUUUUUCUUGAACUUCUCUUCCUCACAACAGUUAAAUCAUCCAUUUAAAGAUGUCAAACAACCUCCGUGUUCUAAGGUGAGUUGUCAGAUCUCAUUUGGUUCACCUUGUCUACCACUUAUCCUUUGUUUAUUCAUUCUUCUUGUAACCUCUUUCUUUUCCAAAGCUGAGAGUAGAUAAAACUAGCUAUUUCAAUAAUAACUAGUUAUUAUUUCAAUAAUACCAUUUGAGGAGAAAAUAUUUGUAUAUUUGGUAGUGUUGAAUAUGCAAUAAAGCUGUAAAAAAUAGAAGAAUGUUAACUACUGUAGCAAAAUUAAUAAACCCAGUUUUCCUGAAUAGUUAAGUUGAAUCCAUGCUGACUCUCAAAUCUGUCUCUUUAGUAUCCUAUUUUAAAAUCCUCUUCCAAUUAAUCCUACAUAUUCAUGGGGAUAAUCCUAAGAGCAGGGUAAUCUUUACUUGUUCCCCAUAUUAGUCUGACAACUCAUUCAGUCACCGUUGCCAAAGCCUAAAAUCGCCCACAAGAAGCCAAACUGCCUGUCAUCAUUUUUAUCCAGGCUGGGAUUUCCCUCCAUGCUUGAAAUACCAGCUUGUCUGUUUUGCAUCCACUUUAGAAUUAAAAUAAGGAAAAUGUUAUGAAUCUUUUCCCAAAAUCUCUCCCAUAUUAAAAUUUACAUUCUUGCAGAAGUGCAGACUCAGUCCUGCAUUUAUUACUAUCCUAAGAAUCUUUGUUUUCUUCAGAUUUUACAAUACCUUCACACAUUCAAUCUGUGGGGAAAAGAAAAUCGUAUUUUCUGUUACCAGAAUGUAUUCAUUCUUCCCUUAUGAAAAUGACUGCAUGUGUGCACUUCUCUCUCUACUAAACCAUUCAUACAAAAGGCUGAAGUUAAAAUCACGCUCAUUCACCACUGAGGCUGUUAUUUGCUAUCAUUUUCUCAGUUAUGCACAAUCUAACUUCACUCUUACUACAACUUAUUCUUAGUUCUUUCAUCCUCUUUCCCUGCUUAUAUAGAAUGCAGCCAAGCUCAAAUGUUAUGCUUUUCCUCAUUUUUGUCUACAUUGUCCUGUGAUUCUUAGAGCAACCUCCUCACUUUCAUCUUGCAAUUUCAAUUUUUCUUAAUCAAAAACUUGACUACUUAAAUAUUAGCCCGCCUAAGUGAAAAACAUCUUUCACCUUCAUUAGCUAUUCAUAUUCAUUCAUCUGUAAGAAAAAUACUUUUAAAACUCUGCAUUACACAAAGAGAUAACAAUAAACAUCCAAGUAUUUACAUAUGUGAUCUGUUCUGUAGAAUCUCACAAUAAAAAUAACUUCAUAUAUAUGAUUCACCCUUCACAAUAUUUAUUUUUGAGGAUAAAAGAAAAUAAUGUUAGUCUUAUGUGUUAAUCAUAAAAAAUACAUGCUUAAUGACAGGAAAACAGCAAGUCAUUUUUUCUAGUUCUUUAAAAAUAUUUUAAUCGUGCAAAAUCACCAUAAUGUACUCUAGCACAAUGCUAAAAUGUUAUCUAAGAUGGAGUGGCUUUUAUUAGUUUUACAGGAUGUAUAUUUGGCAAUAGUUCUUAAAAAUAAUUACUCAAAAGGAACUCUAACUCUAUUAUUUUAGAAACAAUAUUUUAAAAUACAGCAGUAAGCAACAAAAACUAUUGCUCUUUAUACAUUUUUGGCAUAACACUGCCAUACGGUUACAGAAUUAUAAAAUAAGUAUUUUAUAGUACCAUACAGAUCCAGAAACUGGUUACAACUUCUACCACAUACACAUGGUAUUGGUACUAACGAACAUGCACAGCAUUCUGUAAUUCAUACUGCAGUUGAAUACAGAGCACAGAGAAGGCCCAGUGGCCACUGGAGAAUCAGAGCUUAUGUUAUAAGUAAAACACACAUCUUUGUAACAAUCGUAGGCAUUUUCCUGAAAUAUUUAAAAUACAAGGGACACAAUAGUUUCCAAAAUGACAUAAUCUACCAUCCUUCUUAGAUAAUACUAAAAAAGAAAGAUUACCUUACAUAGGAAACAACUUAAAGCCCUUUUUAAAAACAGGAGGAAAAUGCUUGUCAAAGGACCUAACAUUUUGCUCUCAUUUGUUUCUCACAAUUAUAAUGCCACACAAUUAAUAUGCUGUCAACUCUUGACAGUGUGGAAGUUACUUCACUCACAAACCACCUAUCACUGAGUCUUUCUCUUAUCUGCAGCCAGACCAUCAACUUAACUUGUAAAACUACCAACUGUUGCUACACACAGGCAAAGGAAUUAAACUUGGUAGCUGAUCAUUUGAUUACAUCUAUCAGUCUACUGGAGGGCUUCAACGCAGAGUAGGUGGAAUUCAUGGUUCAAAUCAGAGUAUUAAUGGGAUCUGUUUGCACACCAAUACCUGAUCUCCUUGGCACAAAUACAGAGCUGAUUCUUAAAGCAUGUCCCCACAAUAAAGCUUUUCUUAAUCAUUCGUCACCUGCUUCCAAUAAUUCUGGCACUUACACAAACUUAUCAAGGGUUAUGUCUUUAUUUCUGUGGUGAGUUUCCUGUUGCUGUUUCUAGACUUUUAUUUCAUUUGUAUUUUAUUUUUCUUCACAUGAAACAAAAUCUGUUAGCACUGGGAAAGAAAAGUUCAUUUGACUAAUGAGUGUAGAAUGUAAAUGUUUCUUAGUACCAAAACUUAUUAUAUAUCUAAUUUUUCUAGUUAACGUAAAUUGUUACACAAAGUAUAAUUUAAAAAGUAAAACUAUGACAAACCCUAAAGCUUAAAUAUUUUUAGAGAAAAAGGUAUUUUAGCACAGUAAGUGACCACUACUGCCUUUUCUCUGAAUCAUUUUAUAAAGAGAUUUUAUAUUAAUAUACAGCUGUGAAUGAACAACUUCCCUAAUUUUUUAAUUAAAUAAAUAGGAGUGAGGGAAAAAAACUCAUAUUUCAAUGAUUCCCAAGAUCGUUAAGAUAUAACUACAAUUUACUAAUGCCCAACUGCUCACAGUUUUCUAAACAACUACAAAAUAAAUAAAUUGUAGCAGGUAUUUUAUGAGAACUGAUACCCAUCAAAAUUGUGUAUGGAGUCCAUGAUGGCCUAUCCUCCCCAGAAGUCAGAGCUCACAGUGCCCAACACCCUCAUUAUCCAGAGGAGAAUCUGAGGACCCAUCAUGCCAGUGGAGAAGGCUGGAGCCCAGCACUGGCGCCACUUUCCUGAGAUGCCCACACUGAUUCUUGUCCCUUCUCCCUCUCUGAACUCUACUUCCAGCCAGUUUGGGUCAUAACACAAAACAUUUAAUUGUAUUCUCUACAUGAAAACUUUAGUUCAGGAAAAUAAACAUAUUAAGAGGUUAUUUCCCUCAAAUAACUGAAACAAUAAACUUCACAACAGAAUAGGAAAAAAAAUGACAAAGAACACUCUCUGUAGUCUAGGAAAAAUGCAAGAACAGUGCUUUUAAAAUGAUUCUAAUGAGACUACAGCAUAAAAGUUUUUCAAAUUAGUUUCAGAUUUCUCCAACUGCCUACUGGAAUUAAACUUUUAAUAAUUUCUCUAACAUAAUUCUAUUUCUGCAUCCGCCUACAUCUAAGAAGAAGCAAAACAUAAAUAUUAUUUGUAGUAACUAAGGAACGUUUAAAAUGAAAAUUAUAGUAUGUAGCUAAACUACAAAAAGCAUAAAUAAAUAUAACAGACAGUAUAGUUAGUCUUUCUUACUCUAAACACGUUUUGUCAAAUGUAACACAUUGUUGAAUAUCAUGGUGAGUACACUUCUUGAUAAACUGAUGCUAUUGUCCCAAACAGCAACUUCUCCAAAAUGAUAAAGCACCACCUAAAUUUCAUUAAAAGAACUGAUAUUCAUGGUUUAGAAAGUUCCCAAUGAUGAGAUUUUAUAAUGUAAUAAAAAUGUAAACUUCUGAAUGAAAACCAUUUACAUUUGUUAAGGCACAUCUGGAUACCUCCAGACAUUCAUAUUUAUAGCUAUAUUAUUAUUCAUUUCAAUAAUAAGGGAUUUCUAAAAACACAUUCUGUCCCUGAACACAAUCUGCUGGGUGUGUUGGAUAACUAGAAUGCAGAAGGAGCAGGGUAGUACUCACUGUCACCCUAGAGAUUAGCCACACAAAUAUGUUCCUGUAAUAAACAGUACAAAACUCAAAAAGAAGCCAGCAAAUGUACACUCCUAAUUUUCUAGAUCCUACAUUGACCCAGGCCAUUUUUCUCUACAACUUCACCUACAUUUAAUGAUUCUAGUGUGUCUAAAUACAGCCUACCUUAUACUCAACGCAUAUACCCCAAAUGAGAGAGGGGAAUUUCCUAAGUGGAAAACAAAAUAGAAAUCUUCAAAAACAUUCCUACAACAGAGGAUCGCCACUCACCCCAAACAGACAUUAAAGACUGGUAGAUGUAGUUACAAUCAAGCAAGAUCAAGAAUAUCCUUUGUAUCUUAGAUUAGAAAACAAAGCUUUAGAAGAGCCUCAAUUAUAGUUUAAAAAAUGCGUGAUUACUCAGUAUGGAUGACUACUCAACCAUAACUCUAUUAUAAACUUGAAAAUUUAAUAUUAAAACAAUUAACCAAAUAUUCUCCCCCCAUUGGUUAACCCAAUUUUUGACCACUCAGUGUUGAGGUUCAUUUACUACUAUGAUUUUUCAAAGACUAACUCAGAUGUAAUACUGUACUGUUUUUUCUUUCCACCACAUCAUACUUUCACUCAGAUUAAAGUAUAAAACUAGAAGCAGGGUAGGUGAUUUUAUAUGACAAAAUAUGAAACAAUGACUAUGACAGGCAUUAUGGCAUUUUCAUAUGUUUAUAUUUUUACUACUUAGCAAAAAAAUACUUAGAACUUCUCUAGUAACUCCUGAGUUGUAGAUUUUAUUUUCUCAUUGAAGCUGGAAAAAAGUAGUCCCAAAACCUAAAUUCAAAAUAAAACUAUGCAACAUAAUUUUUGAGUUGACAACUAGGCUUGAUUUAGAGAAAGUAAACAUAUUUUCACCUCUAUCAUUAUUCUUUUGAAUUUCUUAUGAGAUCGAGAAUGAAAAUGUAUAAUGGUACAAUAUUCUUCAUGUUAUAAACUCUUUCUCUACUGUACAGAAAUAUAUCUUAUAACUAUAUGUCACUUUACAGUAUUUAAAAAUAGUUUCACAUAAUCUCCUUUGAUAUAUGAAAGCACAAAAUAUUAGAAAUGUUCUAGACUAAUCAAGCGAUAUAACAUCUAUUUGCCAUGAAAUGCAAGUUAGUAUUUUAUCAAUAGCCAAUAUUUAGUAUCCUUGCACUCCACAGUACAACAAUAAAGAUUAUAUAUUUGUAAAGAUUCAGUAAUAUUUUUAGCUAUUUGGUCAUGCUUCACUGCAUUUUUUAUAACAGCUUCUCAAUGAAUUUCUGCAAGCAUAUCGUAGUUUUUAAAAUUACAAAACAUAGGAGUCAAACCCAGAGCACUGUUUCAUAUAUAAGACACACAUAAAUACAUAUCUAUAGAUCUUAUUUAAAAAACUAAUAUACAAAGCAUUAAUAGAAAAAAAUUCUAGACACUCAAUGUUUAUCUCCAAAAGGAAUGAUAUCCUUUUACUUGUUCUCCACUGAAUGAUUAUCUAAGUUAUUUAGGGAUUAAAUGUAAGAAACAUACUAUUAUAUAUGAAUAUGCAUUUAAAAACACCAUAGUGGGAAAAGGCCACUAUUUAAGAUGGAUGCCAGGAAGUGUUUCUCUUGAGACUAAAUAUUCUCGAAUUUAAUGUUACAAUCUAAUCAAAAUCCCUAAGUAGGAAGAAUAUUCUAAAAGUUAAGUUGCUAAAUGAAAUGUUUUUACUCAUAAGGGCUCUAAUAUACAAUUUCUAAGUAAUUCAAAUUACAUUCAUUGAUUUUAGUAUCUGGUAACUUUAUUAAUAUCAUAAUAUCUGGUCACAAUCUUUUACUAUUAUGCAUUUAGAAAGUUGUCUGAAUACUUUAUCAUGUAUAUAAAAUUGGUAAGUUAUUUUGAAUUAAAUUAUUUGUGUUCUACAAUUCAGCCUAAUUUGACAAUCGCUUCUCAUCCUCUAAACCCUGUAGAACUAUUUACUGAGCUCUACGGAGACACAGCUACAAGCACCACGUAAGAGUGUCCAUGUUUUUCUUGCAUGUAAAACAGAAAUUGAAAUGCAAAAGCAGAUUGCCAAAUCCUAAUACUCACAGAACACUAGGAAAGCAAAAACUGGCAUAUUAUGGGAACUAAAAAUGAGAAAGUGUUCCAUACUAUACUUAUUGGAACACAAUGUACAACAAAAGUGCUACUGAGAUUCAUAUAAAAAAUUAGAGUUAAGCAACUGGCAUGUUUCAUGUAAACUUCAAAGCAGUAAAAUCAUAUUUCUAGAGGCAUACUAUAAGUGUGAUUCUUUUCAAGAAAUCCACUGCAGAAAAUGUGGAUCAAUAGAGGCAACAGAAGAUGAUAUGAAGUAGGACAUAUUACAAAUUCCCUAGGGGAUUAAAAUGAAUAGAACUUUUCUUAAAAGCCUAACAAAAAAGUUAAUUCCUUUCUAAAUGAAAUAAAGUAGACAUGUUUCAUCUAUUCAUUGCUUUAACUAUAUUUGUAUAUAUGCUUUGAAGUUCUUAUCACAGUGUUUUUUGAUUUGUAAUAAUAAUUAGUAAUAAUAUAGAAACAAAAUUAAUUGUUCUUAACCAGUGCUAUGUAACCUAUUAAGUGCUUACUAGAGUUGCAUAUAUGGACUUUUAAAUUUGUUCUCAAUUUUGAAGUUUGAUAACUUAGAGAUGUACAAAACUAUACUUUUUAAAAAACACGUUUGGGCUAAGCAACAUUACUAAUUUCGUAAUCCAUAGAACACUGACAUAUUCAUGGUUUAAGGGACUACUGUCUUGUUCACAGUGCAAGAGGCAUGCCUUUUAAAAAGGAAUUUCUUAUUUUUUAAUUCUUCAGUCAUUUACAUUCAGAAUCAACCAUCAAAUUUAUAUGGAACAGCCAUAGAGAGCAAAAUUCUUGUCUUGAACUUUUCAAUCAAAUUUGUUUUUAAGCACUUAAUUCUGAAAACAGUUAUUAAUUUAAACAAAGCAAAAUCUUGAAGUCAUACAAUUAGAAGUCCCACUCUGUUCCAUGUAGAUUUCAAUAUAGAUCAUCCUAAUGUGUAUAGUGGUCCCUUGAUAUCUGUAGGGGGUUGGUUCCAGGACCCUCUGCAGUUACCAAAAUCUAGGAAUGCUCAAGUCCCUUAUGUAAAAUACUUUAAAUCAUCUCUAAAUUACUUACAAUACCUAAUACAUACAAUAUAAAUGCUAUGUCAAUAGUUGUUAUACUGUAUUGUUUAGAGAAUAAUGACAAAUAAAAGGACUGCACAUAUUUAGUAGAGAUGUAACCAUCCAUUUUUUCCAACAAAUAUUUUCAAUCUGCGGUUGGUUGAAUCCACAGAUGCUGGACCCCUGAAUAUGGAGGGCCAACUACACUAGAAACACACACGCUAGCUGAGAAAGAUGGUGGCUUAAGGGUAAGCAUGGAAAGAGGCAAGGAGGUGAGGACAGCAGGACUGAUAGAUAAGCUGGGGAGGCCAGAGCUCCACAAGGACAUCCAUUUCACUUAUCAGAAUCUAAAAAUAAACACGUUGAGAUACUAGAAUCAAAGAAUCCAAAUUAGUUUCUGAACACAUUUGAAAAGAUCAAACUCUUACAGUUAAAAAAAAAAUUAAUCAGCCAGACAUGGUGGCUCAUGCCUGUAAUCCCAGCACUUUGGGAGGCCGAGGCGGGUGGAUCAUGAGGUCAGGAGUUUGAGACCAGCCUGACCAACAUGGUGAAACCCCGUCUCUACUAAAAAUACAAAAAUUAGCCAGGCGUGGUGGCACACGCCUGUAAUCCCAGCUACUCAGGAGGCUGAGGCAGGAGAAUCGUUUGAGUCCAGGAGGCAGAGGUUGCAGUGAGCCGAGAUCAUGCCACUGCACUCCAGCCUGGGCAACAGAGACUCCGUCUCAAAAAAUAAUAAUAAAAUAAAAUAAAGUAAAAUAAAGCCAUAAAUCAGGUAAAAGUGUAGCAAUCCAAUGAAAUUAUCCUCUUGAUUUCCUUCAUGUAGACUAUAAUGUCUCAAAAGAAUGUAUUUUGUAUACCAAAUACUACAUGGUAAUUUCUAGAUACUCUGAAAAUAUUCUCAAAGUAAUUAUUAUAUACAAAAUUUGAAAAUUCACAUCCUAAAAGCAUUACAGAAUACAUUCAUUUAUUGGGUCUUAUCUUAAAUCUCCUUAUUAGAUAUUCAAUUCAUUGUCAUCCAAAA